UGUCUUUCCCACCUACUCUGAGUCCCUCCAGGGGAAGAGCCAGAGCUCCUACCUCUGAAUUCCCAAUGCUCACCAGAAAGCUCAGCAUCCUGGUUAGGGAGAAAAGUAAAAACCAGAGCAGUGAGUGACUCAGGUUUAAAUCUCUCCCCUCGUUAACAGAUGAUUCUGAAGGUGAUUCAGAUCAUCUCUGAUUCUCCCUGUCCUUACUGCUGGGUGGAGGCUUCCUAGGUGACUGUCUUCAGAAGUUGCUUUCAUCUUUAAAGAACUAUUACAACAACUCAAAGCGUCGCAUCAGGCUCCUGGUCAGGGAACUGAAGAUGUCACAUCUGGGCGACAAGACCACUGCUCUGCUACCCCUGCAGCCCACUGGGGUGGUAAACUCGGCCCCAGUAAAAACUAGAAGGACAAAAUACAAUAAGAGACAGACAAACGAACAGAUAAUUCUGUGUCUAUUAGACAUGACAGAACAGAAUGUCACAGGAGCUGAGCUAAGGAGGUACCUCAGAGUGAGUAAUGUAUCAACAAUCAAAAUGGAAAUGCAUUGCUCACCAUCCAAAAGAAGGGAGUCCAAGGUCAAGGCCAAGAUGGUGGAAGACUAUGAAGACUUGCUGUCUGCUCCAAAGAUGGAGCCUCUCUGGUGAGACCUCCAACAGCAGAAGGCAACAGUCAAACAAUCUUCCUAAAGCACUUUUAUAAGAGCACUAAUCCUAUUCACGAAGAUGGGACCCUCACAACUUAACUACUCCACAAGACAACGCUUCUUAAAUAUAUUGCAU